UACAGAGGUCUCAAGCGUUGUUCGGAUUUACUGGGCGUAAAGGGCGCGUAGGCGGUCGUGACAAGUCACUUGUGAAAUCUCCGGGCUUAACUCGGAACGGUCAAGUGAUACUGUCGGACUAGAGUACGGAAGGGGCAACUGGAAUUCUCGGUGUAGCGGUGAAAUGCGUAGAUAUCAGGAGGAACACCGGUGGCGAAGGCGGGUCUCUGGGCCGAUACUGACGCUGAGGAGCGAAAGCGUGGGGAGCGAACAGG
rnacentral:rRNA from 1 species